GGGUGACCGGCCACAUUGGGACUGAGACACGGCCCAGACUCCUACGGGAGGCAGCAGUGGGGAAUAUUGCACAAUGGGCGAAAGCCUGAUGCAGCGACGCCGCGUGAGGGAUGAAGGCCUUCGGGUUGUAAACCUCUUUUAUCGGGGAGCAAGCGUGAGUGAGUUUACCCGUUGAAUAAGCACCGGCUAACUACGUGCCAGCAGCCGCGGUAAUACGUAGGGUGCAAGCGUUAUCCGGAAUUAUUGGGCGUAAAGGGCUCGUAGGCGGUUCGUCGCGUCCGGUGUGAAAGUCCAUCGCUUAACGGUGGAUCCGCGCCGGGUACGGGCGGGCUUGAGUGCGGUAGGGGAGACUGGAAUUCCCGGUGUAACGGUGGAAUGUGUAGAUAUCGGGAAGAACACCAAUGGCGAAGGCAGGUCUCUGGGCCGUUACUGACGCUGAGGAGCGAAAGCGUGGGGAGCGAACAGGAUUAGAUACCCUGGUAGUCCACGCCGUAAACGGUGGAUGCUGGAUGUGGGGCCCGUUCCACGGGUUCCGUGUCGGAGCUAACGCGUUAAGCAUCCCGCCUGGGGAGUACGGCCGCAAGGCUAAAACUCAAAGAAAUUGACGGGGGCCCGCACAAGCGGCGGAGCAUGCGGAUUAAUUCGAUGCAACGCGAAGAACCUUACCUGGGCUUGACAUGUUCCCGACGGUCGUAGAGAUACGGCUUCCCUUCGGGGCGGGUUCACAGGUGGUGCAUGGUCGUCGUCAGCUCGUGUCGUGAGAUGUUGGGUUAAGUCCCGCAACGAGCGCAACCCUCGCCCCGUGUUGCCAGCGGAUUAUGCCGGGAACUCACGGGGGACCGCCGGGGUUAACUCGGAGGAAGGUGGGGAUGACGUCAGAUCAUCAUGCCCCUUACGUCCAGGGCUUCACGCAUGCUACAAUGGCCGGUACAACGGGAUGCGACGCGGCGACGCGGAGCGGAUCCCUGAAAACCGGUCUCAGUUCGGAUUGUAGUCUGCAACUCGACUGCGUGAAGGCGGAGUCGCUAGUAAUCGCGAAUCAGCAACGUCGCGGUGA
rnacentral:rRNA from 1 species